UUGAAGAAUGAUUCAUAUUCCUCUUUCAGGCCUACAAUCUUUUGAAAUAAUGUUUAAAACACCUUUUCUUCAUUCUUGUAGGGCGACAUGAAGCAGAGAACCAGGAAGCACCGAUCCAAGGCCCACCCCCGCGGGAUGAGUCUGCCACCACAUCCGGAGCUGGUGGUGGCUUGGACACGCAUACUGCCCAGAUGAUAAUUUCAGAAAUCUUGGCAUGCAGGGAAGAAGUGGAGGAAAUAAAUCAGGCCAGCCGAGAAAUUGUACAAAGGACAAGGAGGGUGGAAAAUAAAUUACGCAAUCUAAUAGAUGUUUUGGGUAGAGUUUAAAACUACCAAAAAAAAA